rnacentral:tRNA from 1 species
GGGGCCAUCGUCUAGGGGUUAGGACGGGGGAUUCUCAGUCCUCAAACCGGGGUUCGAUUCCCCGUGGCCCUGCCA